UACAGAGGUCUCAAGCGUUGUUCGGAUUCAUUGGGCGUAAAGGGCGCGUAGGCGGCGGGGUAAGUCGGGUGUGAAAUCUCAGAGCUCAACUCUGAAACUGCAUUCGAUACUGCCGUGCUUGAGGACUGGAGAGGAGACUGGAAUUUACGGUGUAGCGGUGAAAUGCGUAGAUAUCGUAAGGAAGACCAGUGGCGAAGGCGGGUCUCUGGACAGUUCCUGACGCUGAGGCACGAAGGUCAGGGGAGCAAACGGG
rnacentral:rRNA from 1 species